CCUUUCCCCCAUCCUGGUCGUUGAUCCUAUGUGAUCUAACAAUCUGGAACUAAUCACCCUACCCCAGUAUAUAUGUCUGAACCAAGGCACCCCCCCCCAAUCCAAACCCCUCCCCUUCAGUCUCUCAUCGUCCCAACCAAAACCCUAGCGCUGACCUCAAUUUCUCUCUACCAUCUCCACCGGCGGUGGGUUCCAAACCACCCCAAAUUCGUACCACGCAACCCCCAGGCCCUUAUAAAUCAUAUCCCCACACUUGUUUCCCAAAAAUCCCAACAAAAUUUCCUCAAUUCCAAAUCUAGAAAGUUCGAACCUUAGAUUGUUCUGUUUUGCUAAAUUCACACAGAGUUCCGGCUCUCUUUGACCUAUAAUCUACGUUAGUCGAUUGCUCUUAACGAGAGAAAUCAAUUAGCAUUGGUUUUAGUUCAUUCCGAUGAUGCCGGAUUUUGACGAACUCACCAGAUUCCGGCCAAAUGUCUACUUUCGUCAUCGUUUAUCUAUCUAUUUCAUGUUGUCAAGACAUUCCGGCAUGAUUUGGUACUUUUCCCUCUUCUUUUUCACGAUUUUGUUCAUUGUAGCAUUUUCUAUUUUUUAAUUUUAUUUUUUAUUUGCUUCAUUGUUUUAUCUUGCCUGUAAUGGAAUCCGUUUUAAUUUGGUAGUUAAAAUUAGGUUUAAUCGUAAAAUUUUGAUUUAUUGUUUAUUUUUUGUUUCUGAAUUUGAUCUUCUUCGUUCAAUCAUUUGUGAUGGUUUGGGUCCUUGUAUUAACUGUGGUCAUCACUGGCCUGGUUAAAAAACCCGUUCAUUCGGGGUCUGGGGUUAACUUAACCCAGGUUGGCAUUCUAAAAGUAAAUAUAGGGGUGUCCGGGUUCAAUUUAGGGAUUUGGGGUUUUAGGGAAUCAUUUUCUGUUAGCAUAGAAGCUUCUAGAGGAUAGACUUAGAGUGGGUUUGUUAAGAGAUAAGGAGGGUCAGAUAUUUGAAAGGGUAAAAGGGGGAAAGCAACCAAGAGUUCAAGGGUAGAAAGGGAAUUGUUUAGUUGUACUAGGGCUGCUUUAGGCUGCUUAUUUAAGGACCUCUUUCAUUCAUUUUGCAGUGAGCCUUUUCAUACUCUGAAAACAGUAAAAUUUCCUGCAUCAUUUUGGGUUAUAAACUGUUGGGAAUUAUUUCUUUGGGUUCAUUGUUAGUAAUAGUUGAAGACUUUCUAAGGAUUUCUGGUUCAUUUGGUUUUAAAAAUGGUUUAAAAAGCUGAAUGUUGUUGUGUUGAUGGCACUGAUCCACUAUUGUUGCUAAACUCCUCACUCUCAUUGUUUUAUUUUGACCUUCAGGUAUUCCUUGGACUGUGAAUAGCAUGUGAUGUGUAAAUGUGCAAUCCG
rnacentral:lncRNA from 1 species